rnacentral:rRNA from 1 species
UCCAGACUCCUACGGGAGGCAGCAGUGGGGAAUAUUGCACAAUGGGGGAAACCCUGAUGCAGCGACGCCGCGUGAGCGAAGAAGUAUUUCGGUAUGUAAAGCUCUAUCAGCAGGGAAGAAAAAAAUGACGGUACCUGAGUAAGAAGCACCGGCUAAAUACGUGCCAGCAGCCGCGGUAAUACGUAUGGUGCAAGCGUUAUCCGGAUUUACUGGGUGUAAAGGGAGCGUAGGCGGCGCGUUAAGUCUGAUGUGAAAACCCGAGGCUCAACCACGGGAGUGCAUUGGAAACUGGCGGGCUGGAGUGCCGGAGAGGUAAGCGGAAUUCCUAGUGUAGCGGUGAAAUGCGUAGAUAUUAGGAGGAACACCAGUGGCGAAGGCGGCUUACUGGACGGCAACUGACGCUGAGGCUCGAAAGCGUGGGGAGCAAACAGGAUUAGAUCCCCUUGUA